GAUGAACGCUGGCGGCGUGCCUAAUACAUGCAAGUCGAGCGAACGGACGAGAAGCUUGCUUCUCUGAUGUUAGCGGCGGACGGGUGAGUAACACGUGGAUAACCUACCUAUAAGACUGGGAUAACUUCGGGAAACCGGAGCUAAUACCGGAUAAUAUUUUGAACCGCAUGGUUCAAAAGUGAAAGACGGUCUUGCUGUCACUUAUAGAUGGAUCCGCGCUGCAUUAGCUAGUUGGUAAGGUAACGGCUUACCAAGGCAACGAUGCAUAGCCGACCUGAGAGGGUGAUAGGCCACACUGGAACUGAGACACGGUCCAGACUCCUACGGGAGGCAGCAGUAGGGAAUGUUCCGCAAUGGGCGAAAGCAUGACGGAGCAACGCCGCGUGAGUGAUGAAGGUCUUCGGAUCGUAAAACUCUGUUAUUAGGGAAGAACAUAUGUGUAAGUAACUGUGCACAUCUUGACGGUACCUAAUCAGAAAGCCACGGCUAACUACGUG
rnacentral:rRNA from 1 species